ACAAACUACAGCUGCACUGCAGCACACAGAUACCUACCAGCUCGGAGCAGCACCUAGCUAGUUAGUUAGUGGCAAACUGGCAAGAGCGUCUGUGACCUGUGACUCUGUGAGAACCCACCGAGUGAAGAACGAUAGAUCAUGGAGGCGGCGUUUCUGCUAGGCCCGUACACCGGGGGCAGCGGCUUGGGCGGGAGGGUCCACGCCAGGAGCGGCGGCCGCCGGUCAGCUGCGGCGGUGAAGCGCCUGCUGUUGAGGCUGAGGCGCUCUUGGAGAAGACGAGCGGCGCGGCCGAGACGAACCGCGGUGAGGUUCGGUUACGACCCGCAUAGCUACUCCCAGAACUUCGACGACGGCACUGCCUCCUGCGGCCACCACCGCUUGUAGCUGAGGCGUUGAGCACUUGUGCUUAUGUUUGCUACUAAUUGCCGGUGACUAUUAUUAGCUCGUGCAGUCAUAGACUCAUUGUAUUGUGGAGCUAUAUAUUUGAAGCUUGGAA